rnacentral:snRNA from 9 species
UUCUAGACCUUGUUGGAGCAACCGCGAUCAAGAAGGCGGUCUGCUAUAAUUCGAGCCCUGCAUUGCACAUCGCGGAGGCAAGAGUUGUCGAAUGUCCUUCGGGGCCUUCGCCGGCGGAAUUUUUGAUGGUCUCCCUCACCGGAGAGGUU